rnacentral:tRNA from 1 species
GCCUUCGUAGUGUAGUGGUCAGCACACUCGGCGCGUAUUCGAGACGUCAGUGGUUCGAGUCCCGGCGAGAGCG